CCUACGGGAGGCAGCAGUGGGGAAUUUUGGACAAUGGGGGCAACCCUGAUCCAGCCAUUCCGCGUGAGUGAAGAAGGCCUUCGGGUUGUAAAGCUCUUUCGCAAGGGAAGAAAACUUAUGAUCGAAUAAAUCAUGAGGUUGACGGUACCUUGAUAAGAAGCACCGGCUAACUACGUGCCAGCAGCCGCGGUAAUACGUAGGGUGCGAGCGUUAAUCGGAAUUACUGGGCGUAAAGCGUGCGCAGGCGGUUUUGUAAGUCGGAUGUGAAAUCCCCGGGCUCAACCUGGGAACUGCGUUCGAAACUGCAAGGCUAGAGUGUGUCAGAGGGGGGUAGAAUUCCACGUGUAGCAGUGAAAUGCGUAGAGAUGUGGAGGAAUACCAAUGGCGAAGGCAGCCCCCUGGGAUAACACUGACGCUCAUGCACGAAAGCGUGGGGAGCAAACAGGAUUAGAUACCCUGGUAGUCCACGCCCUAAACGAUGUCAACUAGUUGUUGGUAGAGUAAAAUCUAUGAGUAACGUAGCUAACGCGUGAAGUUGACCGCCUGGGGAUACGGUCGCAAGNUUAAAACUCAAAGUGAAUUGACGG
rnacentral:rRNA from 1 species